rnacentral:rRNA from 1 species
UACAGAGGGUGCAAGCGUUAAUCGGAAUUACUGGGCGUAAAGCGCACGUAGGCGGCUUAGCAAGUCGGAAGUGAAAGCCCUCGGCUCAACCAAGGAAGUGCUUUCGAAACUGCUGAGCUUGAGUAGUUAAGAGGAUCGCGGAAUUCCCGGUGUAGAGGUGAAAUUCGUAGAUAUCGGGAGGAACACCAGUGGCGAAGGCGGCGAUCUGGGAACAUACUGACGCUGAGGUGCGAAAGCGUGGGGAGCAAACAGG